rnacentral:tRNA from 1 species
GGCUCGGUAGCUUUGUAGGUAAAGCGCUCGUCUAGCAUACAAGAGUCAUGGGUUCAAAUCCCAGCCGAGCAC